GCACGAUGAUCGCCCAAUGCUUGCAUUGGGAGGAAAGUCCGGACACGUCCUGGCUUCGGCUAGGAGCAGGGUAGCGGGUAACGCCCGUCGUGAGCAAUCACAGAGGUGCGAGCAGAGACGCUGUGACCGAAAGGAAGCAGCACCCACUUUGUGGGUGAGUCACUUAGGUAACUAAGUGGGUGAAACGGCUAAAUCCUUACUUGCGUGCAAGGCCGUGCUCGGGCCCGUUGGUGGCAAACAUUGUUGGCUAUCGACGGGCCUGAGAGAGCCGCAUGAGGUGGUUGGUAACAACCAUCCCAGGUAGAUGAUCAUCCGAGUAAAUGCUCGACAGAAUCCGGCUUAUGUGCAGAA
rnacentral:RNase_P_RNA from 1 species